UGUGUGUGUGUGUGUGUGUGUAGGUGUGUGUGUGUGUGUGUGUGUGUGUGUGUAGGUGUGUGUGUGUGUGUGUAAACUGAGGAGAACUUCCUGUUUAUCUCUAACUUCUUCUGCAGUGUUUGUAUCUAACGUGUGUUUCUGUUUUCUGCUGCUCAGCCUGCUGACGGCGAUGAUUAUUUUAGGUGUGCUGUGGGUUAGCAGGGGUUCAGCACAACCCACAUUAGAGGCCUUAGUCCUCAACGCAGCUGUCGCAGGUUCGAUUCCCGGCCUUGGCGACCUUCACUGCAUGUCUUCUCUCGUUACCCACUUUCCUGUAAUUAACUAUCAAAUAAAGGCCACUAGAGCC